rnacentral:rRNA from 1 species
CAGCAGUAGCCGCGGUAAUACAGAUGGUGCGAGCGUUAAUCGGAUUUACUGGGCGUAAAGCGUGCGUAGGCGGCUUUUUAAGUCGGAUGUGAAAUCCCUGAGCUUAACUUAGGAAUUGCAUUCGAUACUGGGAAGCUAGAGUAUGGGAGAGGAUGGUAGAAUUCCAGGUGUAGCGGUGAAAUGCGUAGAGAUCUGGAGGAAUACCGAUGGCGAAGGCAGCCAUCUGGCCUAAUACUGACGCUGAGGUACGAAAGCAUGGGGAGCAAACAGGAUUAGAUACCCGAGUAGUCCCUGUCUCUUAUAA